AUCCGUGGCCGCCGUGAAGGUGCCCAUGGGCGUGGGCACCCAUCUGUCGGGAAAUCUCUCUCAUGAGUGCUUCGCUCGCUGCAAAUGUGGGAGCUCCUCUUGCCCUUCGACGCGGAUUCUCUGCGCUCCAUGCCUCCGCUUGCCCCCCCCCCCCCCCCCUCCAUUGGUGCCGUUCCGGCCACGGUUGUCAGGAGCAGUCAUUGAGCGCAGUGUCAGGGUGACACUAUUCGCACGCUCUUUUCAUCGUUUGAUUAAUCGCAGACUUUUUCCCUACAACCUAAUUUAAAUUAAGACGCAGGCUCAGGUAAGGGUGGAGGGUGAAUUAAACUACAUAUUCUUCUUGCAAAAACAAUCGAAUACAAAGCUCUAACCACAUGGAAAAGCUAUGAAAACCUAGUCACUUCAGUGGAGAAACACGUCUGUAGUCGUGUAUACUGAUUGGAUUCUUUGAGUUUUGGGCUCCAGGUUGAUUCCGGAUUACGUAACAAUCUGGAAACAACGUAAGUCCCAGUCGUUGUUUGGACAUUUGUAGGGAAAAAACAAUAUUCAUUCAUAAACUAUUGUGAGAAACGUCAAAAAUAAAAAUAAAAUUUUCCGGACUGAAAGAUAGUAUGCGUGUGUUUCAAAGUUUUGACCAGAAGAGAAUGACCAACAACAUGCGCCAACGACAAACACCAGUUUCCAAUCUCUGUAGACUAGUGCUACGGAGAUUGGCCUGGAUCUGGAGUUAUUGGGCUCCAAAGAGUUUACUUUGUAUUGUGCUGAUGUCAGGUCAACCUUGUACAUCUGCUGACAGUCAGGUUAUGUCAUUUGGUGGACGCAAUUGCAAGCUGCGUCAUUGCCUCAUCAGAUUGUCGGGUUUAUAUAGAAAGCAGCGGUGGCAUCAAGACGUAAUGUACUGCUGGUCAGGUUGCGUGGGAAGGGUAAGCGUGGCAAAUCUUUGUCAUAAUCACAUGAAAUAACACACUUCAGUAUUGAGAAAUGGCUGAGGAACUAUCCAAACAGGUAGAACUACUGGUGCUAAUCUACAUGGAGGUCAGGCGAUCGCACAGGGUGUUAUCAGCAGGGGAAGAGGUUCAUGCAACAAAUUUAUGUGACAACGCCACUAGUAGUUGAUUAAAAGCUGGAGGCAAUGUUGAAAGAAAUGUCAGGUUGAGCAUCUUUGCAGAAAAUGCGAGGCUGGUUCUUAAUAUGUUCCACGCAAUUGCAGGAAUUGCUUUGCGGCCUAUUUUGGGUCUUUCUGAGGUCAAAGGGCCUUCACAGUCCAAAGGACGAUAAUUUCUGAACAUCUUAACUUCAUUCAGACAGCUCUCAGAGACUGGGCCAGCGCUAGUGAUCAGGUAUGACGUUUUGCUCCAUUGAAAAAAAAAGAGUUUAGUAGAACGGAACAUGAGAAACAGACCAAGACGUUCCUUAGCAUAGACGUCGACCCGGCAGAUACUUCUCACUUCGAAGUCCUAAUUCAUGCUCAAGUAUUAAACUGCAGCUAAAUUGCAAAGAAUGCACCUAUAGAACGCAUUACAUUGAAAAGCAGAUCUAAACACGAAUGAUACAUUAUUUGUUGUAUUAUAAAGGUUUAAUAGGCACCUCAAUAAAGUACACCAUCAAUGCUCCA